rnacentral:rRNA from 1 species
UACCAGCACCCCGAGUGGUCGGGACGUUUUAUUGGGCCUAAAGCAUCCGUAGCCGGUUCUACAAGUCUUCCGUUAAAUCCAACUGCUUAACAGGUGGGCUGCGGAAGAUACUAUAGAGCUAGGAGGCGGGAGAGGCAAGCGGUACUCAGUGGGUAGGGGUAAAAUCCGUUGAUCCAUUGAAGACCACCAGUGGCGAAGGCGGCUUGCCAGAAUGCGCUCGACGGUGAGGGAUGAAAGCUGGGGGAGCAAACCGG